UACGUAGGGUGCAAGCAUUAAUCGGAAUUAUUGGGCGUAUAGGGCGUGUAGGCGGGAAGAUAAGUCAGAUGUGAAAUCCCGGGGCUCAACCCCGGAACAGCAUUUGAAACUGUCUUUCUAGAGGGUAGGCGGAGAAAAUGGAAUUCCACAAGUAGCGGUGAAAUGCGUAGAUAUGUGGAAGAACACCAGUGGCGAAAGCGGUUUUCUAGCUUACACCUGACGCUGAGGCGCGAAAGCAAGGGGAUCAAACAGG
rnacentral:rRNA from 1 species